rnacentral:rRNA from 1 species
UACGUAGGGGGCUAGCGUUGUCCGGAAUCAUUGGGCGUAAAGCGCGUGUAGGCGGUCCGGUAAGUCCGCUGUGAAAGUCGGGGGCUCAACCCUCGGAUGCCGGUGGAUACUGUCGGGCUUGAGUACGGAAGAGGCGAGUGGAAUUCCCGGUGUAGCGGUGAAAUGCGCAGAUAUCGGGAGGAACACCAAUGGCGAAGGCAGCUCGCUGGGACGGUACUGACGCUGAGACGCGAAAGCGUGGGUAGCAAACGGG